rnacentral:rRNA from 1 species
GGGUUCGAGGAGGGGCCCGCGGCCGAUUAGCUAGCUGGUGGGGUAACGGCCUACCAGGGCGUCGAUCGGUAGCUGGUCUCAGAGGAUGAUCAGCCAGACUGGGACUGCGAGACGGCCCAG